GGGGUGUAGCUCAGCUGGGAGAGCACCUGCCUUGCAAGCAGGGGGUCAGGAGUUCGAUUCUCCUCAUCUCC
rnacentral:tRNA from 13 species